rnacentral:rRNA from 1 species
GCUACCAUGCAGUCGAGCGGUACAUUUCAAAGCUUGCUUUUGAAGAUGACGAGCGGCGGACGGGUGAGUAAUGCCUGGGAAUUUGCCCAUUUGUGGGGGAUAACAGUUGGAAACGACUGCUAAUACCGCAUACGCCCUACGGGGGAAAGCAGGGGACCUUCGGGCCUUGCGCUGAUGGAUAAGCCCAGGUGGGAUUAGCUAGUAGGUGAGGUAAAGGCUCACCUAGGCGACGAUCCCUAGCUGGUCUGAGAGGAUGAUCAGCCACACUGGGACUGAGACACGGCCCAGACUCCUACGGGAGGCAGCAGUGGGGAAUAUUGCACAAUGGGGGAAACCCUGAUGCAGCCAUGCCGCGUGUGUGAAGAAGGCCUUCGGGUUGUAAAGCACUUUCAGCGAGGAGGAAAGGGUGUAAGUUAAUACCUUACAUCUGUGACGUUACUCGCGAAGAAGCACCGGCUAACUCCGUGCCAGCAGCCGCGUAAAACGGAGGGUGCGAGCGUUAAUCGGAAUUCUGGGGCGUAAAGGCGUGCGCGGCGGUUUGUUAAGCAGAAGUGAAAGCCCGGGCUCAACCUGGGACCGCAUUUCGAAUGGCAAACUAGAUCUUGGAGAAGGGUA